rnacentral:rRNA from 1 species
UACGUAGGUCCCGAGCGUUGUCCGGAUUUAUUGGGCGUAAAGCGAGCGCAGGUGGUUUAUUAAGUCUGGUGUAAAAGGCAGUGGCUCAACCAUUGUAUGCAUUGGAAACUGGUAGACUUGAGUGCAGGAGAGGAGAGUGGAAUUCCAUGUGUAGCGGUGAAAUGCGUAGAUAUAUGGAGGAACACCGGUCGCGAAAGCGGCUCUCUGGCCUGUAACUGACACUGAGGCUCGAAAGCGUGGGGAGCAAACAGG